ACAAUUCUCUCUCCCACAAUUCAUUAAAAUGAGAAAUUUCAAUAUUUGAAACUCUCUUCGUCAACCCUCCGCCUUUAUUUUGUUUCUCCCUCAAUUCCCUCUCCCACAAUUCAUUAAAAUUGAAAAAUCACUUGAAACUCUUUUUCAUCAGCCUCUUGAAGUCCGUUGGCAAUUGUUCGAGUUUCUGGAUUUUUGCAAUUCUCAUGAAAUUUUUCUCUCUUUCUUCCACAACCCAGUGCAACGAUGAUCAUCAAAAAAGAACCGAAGACAGAUCCCCAAAUACCUAUUCCCAGGUUUUGGACAAUCGAGAUCAUCUCCUUGCCGCACUAGGUUACUGUCUUUGGCCAUCAAUCGCACGAAGGUACCACCACCGUCAAAACUGUGGGCCUAGGGCUUUUGAUUUCAAGCCAGGAGAUGACCAGAUAUAUCAAUUGUAUUUGCUAAAUAAGUCUCUGCUUGCAUAUGGCACUUAUUUAUCUCGCUUUCUCAGAGUAAUGUGUUUUGGAGACUCGUCCGCAGUGUCCUCAAAACUCCUACCAAGUAACAAGCAAAUUGUCAGCAGCCAAAGCCAAUUUUAUUGGAUACUGGCAAAAUGAAACAACCUUAUGACUGUGAUUUUCUUGCAAGGGCUUGUGCAGGAAGGUUAUAAGGUUUAAAAAUUCUGAAAGAAUGAGGCUCUUAUGAGAUGCUUUAUCUUUCUUAUGCUUAAUUUGUAUUAUGAGUUAUGUGGUCGAACAGGAUUUGCUGAGACUAUAUAUUUUUGAAUUCACAGAAGUUUCAAAGGCAGAAGGAUGGGACAAAGUACUAAUUUGGUGAUUGGAUGAUUCGACCAAUGAGUGGCUUGCUCUAGAUCAUAAGGGAACAGAUAUUCACCUUCUGAGUUCGACGAUGGGGGCUACGAUUAGAGCUGGUUAUCCCAGGGGUAGGGGGACGAGAAGACGAUUAUUAAUAGCCCAAAGUUCUUAAAUUAUAUGACAGCUAUUAAUAUCGAUAUAUUUUUUUUUUUUGAGAGAGAGAAUUAAUAUUGAUAUUGUUUUUUUUAGAGAAUCAAUAUCGAUAUUGUUAUUGAUGUUUUAGUGUUAUUUGUUCAACAUGAGAGAGACUUAAAUUAUUUAUUUUACAAUCUGUAAAUUUAAUUAUUAUUAUACAAUAUUCAUUAAAUUUAAUAUUAUACUCCUACUUAUUAAGUUGAUAAAA